UUUAUUUAAAGUCCAUAAUAGUUUAAGGUCGUAUUCAACAAAACUACUACAUUUUAAUGGCAGUCUAAAAUAUUUCCAGGAACACGCAUGUUCCGACUAAUAAUGCAGACAUCGUUAGCGCAUUUCUGCACAGUAAUGUAUUAUGGAAUAAUUGCAUGCCUAAGUUAAUAGCAAAGAGGUGAACUAUUCAUGCAUCGAUUAUCUACUGAAUGUACACCACAUUUCUCAUUUUAAGUCUUCAAAGCAUCUAUAUACCUACUACCGUUUCACAAUCACUCAUUUUCAUGGCUAUCUGUAUGGGGAUGGAUGAAAUUAUUUUUACUUUUUGUCCCAUUUAAAAAAUACAGUAGCUACAAUAAAAAUUAAUUUUUAUUUUAAUAGUUACUGAACCUAGUUUUCCUUUCACGGCAUACACCAGGUAAUUCCAUUCAUUUCUUUUAUUGGAAUACUUAAGUAUCUUGCAGUGGUAAAUUUAUGAUCACCAAGCUGGUGGGUCUAUUAAUUAAACCAUAAAAUUAUAAGUAUUCCUAUAGUAUUUCACGCUGUUGUGAUUCAGCAGCAAACGAUAGUAUGAAUAAGAUGUGCAAGUUACUGAAGCUAUAAAAUUAAUUUUUCCCUUUUCCUGUCUCCUGGGGGCAUAUUUCAAAAACAUCUUCCUCUCAGCAACGGCCUUGCGUACAAGUAUUGGUUUACAACAACAAAAGCUGGUUUAAGUAUCACAAACUCAUUAGUUCCUUUGGUUUAGAAUGGCUCUAGAAUAAAACUAUUCGAUUAAUCAGUGAAACUAUAAUUGGCUGACCCCAUUACGUCUGCUGUGUAUUAAAGGUGAAUAAAUUUCGUAACUGUCCGUUGCAAUUACAUUUGGAAAUGAAAAAGAUGUUCAUUUGCAAAACAACACAACUUUAGAAAUAAUACUGUUAAUCACAACACAGAAAGUGCACACGCUGGAGUAGAGUAAUACACACGACACCUUCUCAUCUGUGGCAUUCCACUUCUUGAAUUGCUCGAAAGUAAUUUUAUUUUUAAUUUAAAAACUUAACAUCUCCUCUUAUGUUACGUUCAUUACUUGGCAUGUGUUCCGGUACCGGAAUAUAUUACACAUGUUGAAGGUCUAUUUGCACUUGAGAUAGUUUACUGCAACAGUCUCUUACACAACAACUGUAAAAUAACGAGAAAUCAACUAUACUGUUCUCAUUAUAUUUGUUUUUCUUUCACGUUUGUCUCAUUUCGUUUUAAUUCGUCACUUCCCGUGAUGUUACACUGAACAGAAAUAAACAAAUAAGAAAAGCAUGCUUCAGGAACUGCACGCUACAAGUUGAAACGAGAUUUUGUUUUGCUGGCUCAGUUACUGGUGACAUUAUUUUGUGUUUUUACCAACACGUGUUCACCAGUAAAAGCACCAAUACUGUACCUUACGAAUUUAACCUCAACAUUCUGCAACUAGUUACGUCACGAGCUGUACAAGUAAAAUACUGCACGUCUUUGCUACGUGACAUACUAGGCGGGGAAUCUUACAUUUUCCAAUCUACGUUAAUGCGUGAAAAUUGCUCUUACUCCACAUAAUGCAGUUGCUUUUGUGUUCUGCCAGUUUGCUCUGCAGAAGUUCAUCAGCCAUAUUCUUCAUCUUGCUGCUUCCCUCUCUUCUUGGCUUCGAAAGUUCAGCUAAAAGCACGGCAUUGUUGGACUUAU